rnacentral:lncRNA from 1 species
UUUUCAAUGUGCAAGAUCCUCAAAUGUGUGUGUCAACUAUUUCCUGGGUCUAAUUUGUGGGACGGAGGUGGAAGGGUUUCAGAAUCCAGAGAAGUUAGUGAUAGGUCAAUGAAAACAGCAGGAAGGUUUGCAGAUUUAGAUAGAGUUUUGAUUUUGCUACUAGAAAUAAAGCACAGAAUGUUCUAAGAGCAUCGGAGACCAACAGACUAUGUUCCUGCUGAAGCAGGUGGUCAGAACCAGGAUUAGCCACAGCAUUCAAGGGCGAGAAUAAGAGGCACACAAAUGUUCGGGCUAUACACUGAAGGAAAUGAUGCAAACUGUUCCACCUCAGCUAGAACAUGAUCUGUCUCUGCAUGAAGACAUCGGACCUCUGACCUUUUCUGUAGCUAUUCCAGGCAAGUAUAAUAAACAGAGUUCACUAGGUUUCUGUAAAUCUCUGAUUAUGUUUACUGUGAAAUCCAAGUGUUCGUCUCAGGCAGAAAAAUUAAGGUUGAUUUUCAAAUAUUAUGUACAAACUCUAGCUACUAAGCAUUCCAUAAUGAGCACUUUGGCAAUUUAGAGCAAAUUAGGGUUCCCACUAGGCAAGGAUGACAUGCACUGCAGUCAAAGAAAGAUAGUAUGUCGUUAAUGGAGAAUAUUUACCAAGAAUUUAAGAUAAACCCAGAGAGCUCCACUCAUUGUAAAUUUGGAGGAAAAAAUAGUCCUGGCCUUCAUUACUGGGACAUGUGGCAGUCUUAAACUCUCCCGGUCACACAUCUCACCUUACUGAAGAAGGCUAAUGAAGCACAGCCCAGUAUCAAUAGGUGGUUCUUUAAGGACACGCCAAACGUGGGAAACCAGUUACGUUCCACAUGAUCCUCACUGACAGAACAGUCCAACAUACACAACUCUUGCCAGAGAUUAAUGCAAGGGUUGAUUAAAAUGAGGAAUGAACUUUUAUUUUCACCCAAGCACAAAAUCAAAUCAGAAUUGCACUGAUUACAUAUGUCACAGAACCAAGAUGUUAGUUAGUAGCUCGUGAUAGGCAAAUUAUUUGCAUUAUAUAUUUAAUUACAUAGCCAUAUGUGUACUAUGGGAAAGUUUAACUAUAUAGAUAAGCAUAAAAAUAUAAAAGUCAUCAUUAUUCCUAUCACCCUUACAUAGUCAUGGUUGACUCUAGUCUAUAUCGUCAGAGAAUAUAUGUGCAUAUAUGCAGGUAAGUGAAUAUAUAUGAUGUGAAUAUAUGUGACAAAUAAAAGGCUGUGUACAAAUAUAUAGAUACA